AGUGAACGCUGGCGGUAGGCCUAACACAUGCGAGUCGAACGGCAGCACAGUAAGAGCUUGCUCUUACGGGUGGCGAGUGGCGGACGGGUGAGGAAUACAUCGGAAUCUACUUUUUCGUGGGGGAUAACGUAGGGAAACUUACGCUAAUACCGCAUACGACCUACGGGUGAAAGCAGGGGAUCUUCGGACCUUGCGCGAUUGAAUGAGCCGAUGUCGGAUUAGCUAGUUGGCGGGGUAAAGGCCCACCAAGGCGACGAUCCGUAGCUGGUCUGAGAGGAUGAUCAGCCACACUGGAACUGAGACACGGUCCAGACUCCUACGGGAGGCAGCAGUGGGGAAUAUUGGACAAUGGGCGCAAGCCUGAUCCAGCCAUACCGCGUGGGUGAAGAAGGCCUUCGGGUUGUAGAGCCCUUUUGUUGGGAAAGAAAAGCAGCAGGUUAAUACCCCGCUGUUCUGACGGUACCCAAAGAAUAAGCACCGGCUAACUUCGUG
rnacentral:rRNA from 1 species